UGUUUUUCUGGCACAUAUUUUACCAUAUCAUCUGAAAAACUCCUCAUGACGCCAUAGCACCCAUUGAAAUAGAGUGUUUGGAAAAAAAACGAAAUCUUUUGGUCCAGUCUAGAGGGCGUAGUCAGAAGAAAACGGCAACCAAUAGAAGUAAUACUCAUCAUCACUUCUAUUGGUUUCUGACACGUCCAUCAACCGCCAGCACUCACCCCUCCUCCCUGCGCGUUCACCGACUCGUGAACUUGACCGACCCCGCCCCCAUCAUUCAUGCACACGCGACAAGGCUCAUCAUCACUCGGCUAGUAGCAAGGUAACGAGAGUUAGCAGCAGGCUGAGCUACUUGAAAACUUUGGUGGCUUUUGCAGAGCUACAGGAAGAACUUUGGCUUUUGGAACACUGGACUAACCAUGUCAGGAUAACAUACUCCCUUGGAUUAUAGUCAUCGGACUCGCAAGACCAGACUCCAACACGGGCUGAAAAUUUGAAAUGGGACCUGACACUCUUGGACACAGAUACGCUUUGGUGACCAUAUUUCUAAUCGAGAGUUGUGCGAACGAGCCAGACAAACCAGCUGGGAGGAGGACGGAAGCACCCCUUCUCCAUCCGCGUUCAGUUGCUAAAUACUGAUUCACCCCGUAGUGUGGUGUUUUCCAUAGCUGUUCCUUGCUCCUGUAUCACAACAUAUCAAGGCUGCCAAGUAAAUGAAGAAUGAAUCACCGCACACUGGUCAACAGCAGACAGGGUCCUUCCACAACCACAUACUUAUGCCAGUAAAAGCCACAGCUUUUCUCCUCCAAUCCAAGAAGCCUGGACUGCAGUCACCAUCUCAACACACCAACCAAGAGAAAGGCGGAUGGCUCAAUUCAAUAUGGAAAAUUGCACAAUAAAAGUUCCAGGACAUGAAGGCUGCAUACUGUGAACGUCAACCUUCAGGGCACCGUCCUGCGCAGAAGACUUUCUACCCUAAGAGGGAUGGCUGACCGCAGACACUCACAACCAGCACAGACGCCUCCAACCUCAGACUAGGCCCUUCACAGUUGCUGCACUUACCCACCUUCCCAGAGUUUUUGUGUGGUAAUGACAACUGUAAAUAUAGUAUAAAGUAAUGUAUCUAGUGUCAUGUGUAAUACAUUGUUUAAAUUGUCCAUACAUUUCAAUGACAGUAAAUAUUGGUGGACACAAUUUGACUGUGUGGCUUUUUUUAAUUCAUUCUCUGACUGAA